rnacentral:lncRNA from 1 species
GCAUGCACACGUAAGAAUGGAGCUGGAAACGACUAAGUGUUGAACAUGCACCUCGGUGUAGCGACCUCGGCGUGCAUGCCGGACCCUGUUCGCUCAAAUCCCUCGACUACCAAGCGCCUCGGCAUUUCAUGCCGAGGUCCAUUGUCACAAACCCAGAAUCAAGAACAAAGCUGCCCAAGAAUACACACGUGAAGAUGGAUCAAAGACUAAGGUUCAUGCAUGUUCUUGACGUGUUCUUCACGAGAUCUUCAUUUGGAUCUAGACUCACGUGCACUCCUCGACAUGAAGACCUCGGCUUCACUCUCCGACACACCGUGGCAUCACCCAUCAACCCAAGAUCGCGGUUCAGUACCCGGUUUGUUCCAGGCUGACCCGCGACACUUUACCUUUGCUAUAUAUACAUUUUGAGACUAAAAACCUAAUCAUCUUAUCUCUUAUCUGUUUUUAGCUUUAAGAACUUGCCUCUUUGGUGACACUCGAUCAUUCUAAUCCGAUAUCUCGUUUUUGCAUGAAAAAUCUUGUUCUUUCUUUAUUUCCUUUAUCAUCUAACAUUAAACUCCUCAUCAUGACCAGCUACACGUCUUGCAAAGGACUUAGUGAGCUCGUUAUGAUUAGUGAGUAGUCGUUUAAGCGGCUUUAGAUGAGUAGAUUAGGGUGCUUUCAAGGUAGAUUAGUGGGUUUAGGUGUCUAGUUUUGCAUGUUUCAUUCUUUAACCGACGAGAUCUCUAGGCUGGAUCCAAGCACAUCACUUGAGGUUCAGAUCCGAGACAUAUCUCGCAUCAAAAGUGUUUGUAGAAAUGUCUGAACCACUCAGUUAAGGGUUUAAGAGCCUUUCAUCGCGAGAGUGAUAGUUCGUUCUCUUAAAUGACAUUUUUGAACUGAUUCUUAUUGCUGAUUGAUUCGAUGCUUCUCAAAAGACAUUUUUGGUAUGAAGGAGGAUCAGUUUAGAUGCUUAAUACUUUCAUGAGAAGAUUAACAUGCCUUGAGUUCAAAGUUAAAUGAAACCGCUUGAUGUUUUGAUUCAUUAACCAACUAGUUGAACUUGGAAGCACCCGAGUCAAGUAUCUCGUCUAAAGUCCCUUGCUUUAUUACAUAUUAUCAUCAUCUGAAUCGUUUAGUUAUUAUUUGCAUCCUGUCUCUGUUUAGAUCUAAUCAUUUGCUUUACCUUUCAUGCUUAAUCGUUUGUUACUUAGCUUAGUUCAAAACCUUCACCUUUUGUCUUGACUUAAAUGAACAAACAUCAUAGUCUAGUGUCUCGUUGACUUGUUUGGAUUGAUACCUCUUUGUGCUACUUCGACAAAGGGGAUUGAUAGUCCUGAGACCUAAAAAGUCUUAUCUAUCAAUUGGCGCUGUUGCCGGGGAUAGCUAGGGGAAUGAAAGAAAAAGAAUCGAGUCUUGAAUUUGAAAAGAAGAGCUCUGUUGUUCUAAAAAGAAAAGUAUAGUCUCUGAAAUGAAAAGAAGCCAAAAAGGCUCAAGUGUUCUAAAAAGAAAAGAAAAGAGGCUAAUCGCCGUAAAAGAAAAGAGCUGUUUGAAUAAGUAAACACCAAAGGCUUGAAAAUCAAAACAAAAGUGAGUCCCCUAGUGAAAAAGAAAGCGAUUGAGAGAGUGAAGAUCUUGAGAAGGUGAGCAAGUGAGAAAAGCUUUGAGUGGAGUGUGGGGUGUGAUGAGUCUUGCCCUUGUAUGCAUCGGUUGCUUUUUACCUUUAGCAUUCUGCCAAAGUUUGGUCGUUCAUUGAGUGAUCCCAUUGUUGCAUUACACCCGCUUGAAUAUUGAUGAGAUAAUUUUUAUCUCAUGACCUUACCCUAGCCAAGCCAGCCUAUUUGAACAUUGCAUCAUUUGAUUCACCGGUUACGAGCUUAAUGAAUGUGAAAGAGUUGAGUGUGAUAAUGGCUUAUGGAGAUUCUAUGCUUUAAUUGUGAAAUAUCUGAGUAUGGCUUUGCAUUGCAUAUUUGAGCAUGAAUCCGAGUUCUCCUUGUGAUCACUUCUUUCUAAAAAGGAAAUAUGAGCUCCAUCUGCAUUACAACCUCUUUCUCUCAUUUGAUCUCUUCGCUUGAGGACAAGCAAAGGACAAGUGUGGGGGAGUUGAUAUGUCUAUAUUUUACAUCAUUUAGAGUGCAUUUUAGAGUCCUCAUCAUGUGUUUUCCCAUGUAAAUUGAGUCUUUAGGCAUGAAAAUAGGAUUUAGGGCUUGCAUUAGGUCCCAAAGAGUUUUGCAUGUUUUGAGGUCUUUAUCAGGUGUUUUGGGAGUCAUUUGGAGCUUAAGAAGAGGAGCAGAGAAGAAGACGGUGAAGAAAACGGUCAAAACCGGUGAAAACCGCUUGGAGGAAUUUCUCGGCCAAAUCGCGUACCGGACGGACAGAAACCUCGGUCAAAAUCCUUACCGAUCGCUCAUUACCGGCCAAAAUCCUUACCGAUCGCUCAUUACCGGCCAAAAUCCUUACCGAUCGUCCAACCUCGACCAAAAAGCUUACCGAUCGUUCAGCACCGACCAAAGUCCGUACCGAUCGACCAAAGUCAGCCUGGGUCGAAGAUCAGGCGUUAAUACCGCGAGUUGAGUUUUGGCCGAGGCAAAAGGAUUUUUACGACCAAAAAGCUUACCGCGGUACACAGCCCUCGGCCAUUUUCCGUACCGCGGGAAGCUUUUCUCGACCAAAAUCUGUCCUUGUCUGCGCAAUUCAAAGAUAUGAAAUCCGGGAAACCUUCCGGUCCGAAUCAGUUGGCGGGGUCUUCAGCAAAGUUGGAGAUAAUCAAACAAAGAUCCCAGAACAGUUGGAAUCAUCCAAUUCGGACCAGUAGGGAGUAAGAUACAGCUUCCGGAAGAUGCACCAACAUUACGCGCAUCCGAGAACUGAACGGCGAAGUACAAAGGUCACGGCGGACGGAGCCUUUCCGGACCAAAUCAGCUUGCCCGGUCUUCAUCAAAGUUUGAGAUCUGUGAAAGACCUUUUCAGAACAGUAGGGGUCGCUCAAUUCGGACGAGUAGUUUGAAAGAGAAAGUCUCCGGAGUUCACAUCGGUCCAAACAGUUUAUUUUCUGGUGAUUUCGAUGCGGUUCAAAGAUGUGAAAUCCAGGAAGACUUCCACUACCCAAGCUCCGACGGUUUCUUCACCAAAGUUCGAGUUUAUUGAGUCACCUUGACUAGGGAACUGGUCUCAGAGCAUUUGGAGUCGUGGGUCGAAAGUUACUGCUUCCGGAAAGCGACAUGGUCGAUACGGGCCCAAAUAUGUUGCGAUACGCGCUAAGUGUUUCUUCAGGGCUCGGCAUCAUUACCUCGACAUCGGCCAAGUCAAGGCUCAUAUUUUGGAAGUAUCCUGAGCUAGGCCUCGUACUGAUACCUCGGCACGUUGGGAUCAAGGCAUGCACACGUAAGAAUGGAGCUGGAAACGACUAAGUGUUGAACAUGCACCUCGGUGUAGCGACCUCGGCGUGCAUGCCGGACCCUGUUCGCUCAAAUCCCUCGACUACCAAGCGCCUCGGCAUUUCAUGCCGAGGUCCAUUGUCACAAACCCAGAAUCAAGAACAAAGCUGCCCAAGAAUACACACGUGAAGAUGGAUCAAAGACUAGGGUUCAUGCAUGUUCUUGACGUGUUCUUCACGAGAUCUUCAUUUGGAUCUAGACUCACGUGCACUCCUCGACAUGAAGACCUCGGCUUCACUCUCCGACACACCGUGGCAUCACCCAUCAACCCAAGAUCGCGGUUCAGUACCCGGUUUGUUCCGGGCUGACCCGCGACACUUUACCUUUGCUAUAUAUACAUUUUGAGACUAAAAACCUAAUCAUCUUAUCUCUUAUCUGUUUUUAGCUUUAAGAACUUGCCUCUUUGGUGACACUCGAUCAUUCUAAUCCGAUAUCUCGUUUUUGCAUGAAAAAUCUUGUUCUUUCUUUAUUUCCUUUAUCAUCUAACAUUAAACUCCUCAUCAUGACCAGCUACACGUCUUGCAAAGGACUUAGUGAGCUCGUUAUGAUUAGUGAGUAGUCGUUUAAGCGGCUUUAGAUGAGUAGAUUAGGGUGCUUUCAAGGUAGAUUAGUGGGUUUAGGUGUCUAGUUUUGCAUGUUUCAUUCUUUAACCGACGAGAUUCUAGGCUGGAUCCAAGCACAUCACUUGAGGUUCAGAUCCGAGACAUAUCUCGCAUCAAAAGUGUUUGUAGAAAUGUCUGAACCACUCAGUUAAGGGUUUAAGAGCCUUUCAUCGCGAGAGUGAUAGUUCGUUCUCUUAAAUGACAUUUUUGAACUGAUUCUU